AUAUGCUUGUCCCGAAGCUUAAGCCAUGCAUGUCUCCGAUUAACUAGUAGCAUCCCCGAAUCUGCGAACGGCUCCGUAUAUCUGUUGUAAUCCCCCCACCACCCAGGCCCCGAGGCAAUAACCACGGUAAUUCUGUGGCUAAUACAUGUAACACCGGGCCGUCCCCCCUCUUCGGGUGGGCGGUCUGGACUUGCCGGCUGACCAAUGGGGGGCAACCUCCGGCGUGAGUGCUGGCAAGCGACCCUAACCGCGGCUAGCCUGUGGUGUGUGUGACGGGCUUCAGACCUAUCAACUAGAUGGCCGGGGAUAGCCCGGCCAUGGUCGCAACGGGUACAGAGGAUCAGGGUUCGGUCCUGGAGAGGUAGCCUGAGAGAUCGCUACUACUUCUAAGGAAGGCAGCAGGCGCGCAACGUUCCCAAUGGGGAUACCCUGAGGACGUGAAGGGACAUACCAAUGCCCGGCCCUUAAAGCCGGGCAAUUGGAAUGGGGGACGCUCAAACCCCACACCGAGUAACAAUUGGAGGACAAGUCUGGUGCCAGCACCCGCGGUAAUUCCAGCUCCAAUAGCAUCUAAUUAAGUUGUUGCAGUUAAAACGCUCGUAGUUGAAGUCGGUGCGCCCUGGGGCUCGCCUAGUACCGCC
rnacentral:rRNA from 1 species